GGGACCCAAGGACAGGGAAGAAUCAGGAAUUUUCUGAGGUCAGGGUCAUAGAGGUAUCCGUCUAGAAGAUGGUGAGUGGUGAGUAAAGAGUGGGAUCCUCAACACGAGAUUUGAGGUGCCAGCAAGGAGACCCACAGUAAGUGCACAGAACUGUGAAAGGAACAGGCCAUCAAAGGGGCGAGGAGAGCAUCUUUGGAAGAGGAAAAACCAAAGAAAGAGAAGUGGAGAGGUGGGGAGAGAGAUACAACAUCUGCUGAGAUUUUUGGCAUAUUCCUAAUGAUAAUAAUCAUGGCGGUGCCCGUGGUAUGAGCAAAGUAUUCAAGAGUAGGAGAGAGUGAGAGGUCGCUGGCCACGGGGAGAGCAGUUAGUGUGUACAGUCUAAUGCCAUGAGCACCAAAGAAGCAGAAUUUCAAGAGGGUGGAAAGGAUGGUGAGAUGCCCUGUGGAUAGAAUGUGGAGCUAGAAGUAUGUGCGGCCACCUUGUAGAGCUGCUGAAGAAGACUAAAGGAGGACCCUAGGAGCACAAGGAGCAUCUGAGCCUGCCAUCCACAGGAAGUAUGAGGACAUGGCUCAUUUUGGUAUAGGCACAACAGAUCCUCUCAGAAGCCUCCUGUUUAGAGAAACCUGCAUGGCCAUCCCUUCCUGUGACUGACUCCAUCCAUCGCUGAUUGGUUCCUUGUUUUCUGCAAAGAGUGUGAAAAUGCUCAGCUGGCUGGGCUGGCCGGCCAAUGAAAUGCAAAGAUGGGCCUGUAUCAGCCCAACAGGAGAGUUGGAGUGUCUUAUGUGCCUGAAGUCGGCUUCUGCAUCUUGCUCUGUAUCUUAUUUCUCCUCGAUCCCGGGAUACAAGAACAACUGGUAUCCUGUAAAGCAGAAAAGAAGCCAAGAACAGAGAACAGAGUCAAUGGAAGGGAACAAAGGGACUUUGUGAUUUUGAUUUUAAUUAUACUGACUC